ensembl:snRNA U6 U6 spliceosomal RNA
GUGCUCACUUUGGCAGCACGUAUAUAAAAUGGGAAGAAUACAGAGAAAAUUAGCAUGGGUCCUAUGUAACAAUAACAUGAAAAUCCACAAAGUUUUUCUGAUAACC